rnacentral:rRNA from 1 species
AUACGGAGGGUGCAAGCGUUACUCGGAAUCACUGGGCGUAAAGCGCGCGUAGGUGGCUAUGUCAGUCGGAUGUGAAAGCCCUGGGCUUAACCUGGGAAUUGCAUUCGAUACUGCAUGGCUAGAGUAUAGUAGAGGGUAGUGGAAUUCCAGGUGUAGCGGUGAAAUGCGUAGAUAUCUGGAGGAACAUCAGUGGCGAAGGCGGCUACCUGGACUAAUACUGACACUGAGGUGCGAAAGCGUGGGGAGCAAACAGGAUUAGAUACCCCGGUAGUCC